AAAAAUACUGUAGUAUACUUUAGUAUUUACUAUAGUAAACUGUAGUAAACUGUAGUAAAUUAAAGUAUAUUAUAGUAUUUACUACACAUACCAUAGUAUUAACUAUAGUAAACUGAUAAUCUGUAGUAAAGACCAUAGUAUACUUUAGUUCUUACUACAGUAAACUAUAGUGUAUUGUAGUAUACUAUAGUAUAUAAUAGUAUUUACUAUACAUACCAUAGUAUUGACUAUAGUAAAGUGAUAAACUGUAGUACACUUUAGUUCUUACUACAGUAAACUAUAGUGUAUUGUAGUAAAUUAUAGUAUACCAUAGUAUUAACUAAACUGAUAAACUGUAGUAAGUACCAUAUACUUUAGUUCUUACUACAGUAAACUAUAGUGUAUUGUAGUAUACUAUACACUGUAAAACCUGACAGUGUAAGUCACUAAACGAAAUGAGUUUAUUUAACUUAUCCCAUAUCUAACAGCUUCUGGUCUGAGAUACAUAAUUGGCUGUCAUGUAAGGUGGAUAAUAUCCCUACUAUCAACCUGUCACACAUUUUUGACAAUAUAGAUUCUUCAAUAUCAGAUUUGGUCAAUAUGAUUAUUCUUAUGGGUAAAUAUCAUAUUCAUUACUGUAAGUGGAGGUGUUCUAAGCCUUCCUUUGUCUGGUUUAUAAAUUACUAUAAAUAUUUUUUUUCUUCACUAAAAAAGAUCCAAUCUACUAAAAUGUGUAGUGACAUAGGAAAUUACUAUUUUGAUGAAUCUCUCCUAUAGCCUACUGCUCUUAAUAUUAUGCUUAUAUAACUUUUUUUUAUUUUCACUUAAUAGAAACUGUGAUAUGAACUCAAAAACUGCAAAUGAUUUACCAUAACUUAUUACCAAAUAAUUAAUACAUUAAAACUUAACUUAAACUGUACUGAAUAACUGAAACACACACACUCUCUCCCACACACCUGAAGUAAAUAAUGCGCUUUAAUUUGACACUCGCCCCUCCCCCACGUCUCUCACGGAGUUUCACAGAGCAGCAGUCAGAACACAGAAGCUAACAGGUAAGCACUGCAAACUAAUUCAACCUCUUUAAAGCAUCUUUAAACUUUAAAAACAUGCUGUUUGUCGUGUUUGUCUUCAUUUUAAUACUGACUCGGUUACAGUAAUUUGUGUAAUGUUGGACAUACGACGAGACAACGUGACAUUGACACAGCAAUAUUGCCUGAGACUCAUUUUUAUCAGCAGAUUAAUGUACACCACAGUUCUGUAAGUGGAAAAUUAAUUCAUAUUUAUGUGUGUUUCUUUCUCUGUAAGGACUAACUUUAAAGGAACAGUAUGUAAGAAAUUUAUAUCAAUUAAUCAUAAAAUGGCCCUGAUAUGUCAAUAGACAUUAAGAAAUCAUUUUCAUUUCAAAUACUUAUAUCACUGACAACAGCGGUCUGGCCAGGAUAUUGUCAUUUAAAAAGUGGAGUUGCAGCCCUCAACUGAUGUUUAUGUUGUCAUGUUGUGUAUUGGCCACCAGUUGUGAUAUUGCAGUACCAGUUUUAGCCACAAGUUUUGUGAUUGCAAUACCAGUUUUGGCCACAAUCCUACACACUGUUCCUUUAACUGACUGUCUGUCUGUUCUCAACCAAACGGCCAUUCAAGACCUUAAGGUUAAUGAUGGAUCUUUACCAUUGAGGAGACAGGCUGACUGGCUGUUCUCAACCAACCAUCAUUAACUAACAAAAACUUUAAAGGUAAGUAUGAACGUGUCUAGAGUUUUCGAUCUUUACCAUUGAGGAGGCUGACUGACUAUCAUCUAUUACUACAAGUGGACCUAUUCAUUUACUCAUUAUGCUGUGAGUACACCACAGUUUUAUCAGUAAAACAAUAAUGUUUGUUGUUUUCACUGCUUGGCAUAGACAAAUGUGACCCUGUGUAAUUUGGAAAUGUCUUGGGAAAAGUGUACAUCUUAAUGUUUAAAUGUCGUUUGAAUUAAGGAACAGUACACUGAUUUAUUAAAAGUGUACAAUACAAAUCUAAGUAUAAUAGUGUAAAAUAGUGUAAAUCUAAUAUUAGUUUUAAUGUGAAUUUGGAUUGAACCGCACACUUUUGUUUUAUGUCUAAAACAAUGUUUGUAAAAUAAAUAAGUGUUCAAUAAACUGUAAUCAUUUUACAAUUUUCUGUCAUUUUUUAUACUAAUGUUUUACUGAAAUUUUACAUUUCCUAUAGUAAGUUUACCAUAAAUUGCUGUAGUAUUUUAAUACCGUUUACUUUAUUAUAGAAUGGUUCAAAAAUACUAUAGUAUUUGCUAGAGUAAUUUUACUUCAUUUCCUAUAGUUAGUUUACUAUAAAUUACAAUAGUUCUUUUAAUACAGUUUACUGUAGUACAUUUACUAUAGUAUGGUUCAAAAACACUAUAGUAUUUACUAGAGUAAUUUUACUUCAUUUUUUUAUAGUUAGAUAACUAUAAAUUACUAUUGUACUUUUAAUACAGUUUACUUUAUAGUAUGGUUCAAAAACACUAUAGUAUUUACUAGAGUAAUUUUACUUCAUUUUUUAUAGUUACUUUACUAUAAAUUACUAUUGUACUUUUAAUACAGUUUACUGUAGUACAUUUACUAUAGUAUGGUUCAAAAACACUAUAGUAUUUACUAGAGUAAUUUUACUUUAUUUUUUAUAGUUAGAUAACUAUAAAUUACUAUAGUACUUUUAAUACAGUUUACUUUAUAGUAUGGUUCAAAAACACUAUAGUAUUUACUAGAGUAAUUUUACUACAUUUUUCUAUGUUAAUUUUACUAUAAUACACUAUAGUAUUUUUUCAUGUGGGUGUUGACGCGGAUCGAACUGGGGACUUCAAUACUAUUAAGUCCG